rnacentral:rRNA from 1 species
UCCUGACUGACCGAUAGUGAACCAGUACCGUGAGGGAAAGGCGAAAAGAACCCCGGCGAGGGGAGUGAAAAAGAACCUGAAACCGUGUACGUACAAGCAGUGGGAGCACGCUUAGGCGUGUGACUGCGUACCUUUUGUAUAAUGGGUCAGCGACUUAUAUUCUGUAGCAAGGUUAACCGAAUAGGGGAGCCGAAGGGAAACCGAGUCUUAACUGGGCGUUAAGUUGCAGGGUAUAGACCCGAAACCCGGUGAUCUAGCCAUGGGCAGGUUGAAGGUUGGGUAACACUAACUGGAGGACCGAACCGACUAAUGUUGAAAAAUUAGCGGAUGACUUGUGGCUGGGGGUGAAAGGCCAAUCAAACCGGGAGAUAGCUGGUUCUCCCCGAAAGCUAUUUAGGUAGCGCCUCGUGAAUUCAUCUCCGGGGGUAGAGCACUGUUUCGGCAAGGGGGUCAUCCCGACUUACCAACCCGAUGCAAACUGCGAAUACCGGAGAAUGUUAUCACGGGAGACACACGGCGGGUGCUAACGUCCGUCGUGAAGAGGGAAACAACCCAGACCGCCAGCUAAGGUCCCAAAGUCAUGGUUAAGUGGGAAACGAUGUGGGAAGGCCCAGACAGCCAGGAUGUUGGCUUAGAAGCAGCCAUCAUUUAAAGAAAGCGUAAUAGCUCACUGGUCGAGUCGGCCUGCGCGGAAGAUGUAACGGGGCUAAACCAUGCACCGAAGCUGCGGCAGCGACGC